rnacentral:lncRNA from 1 species
CUCCUGGAUCUGCGGGUCGGUCUCGGCGGGCGGAUUACUCCUCGCCCACAACCUCGAGGCCCCGGGGUCAACCGCGCCCUCCGGGCCGGCAACCCAGGGUUUAGUCAGAUUCCUCCUGACCCACCGCUUCUGGGAAAGAGGCGCCUCCCGUCAGGAGGAUGCUGAGUUCCUCAUGACUGGACCAGUGAGUGUCCACUCCCUGGUCCCUGGCGAGAGAGGCGGGACCCCCACGCCCUCCUGGCGCUCUUUGCAGAGAUGUUCCUCAGGCCCAAUCCGGGAUUUGGGAUGUCUGUGCGUGCUGUGGAGCAGAGAGUUUGCAACAUGGUCUCACUUUGUCACCCAGGCUGGAAUGCAUUGGCAUGAACACGUCUCACUGCAGCCUCAACCUCCCAGGCUGAAGUGACCCUCCAACUCUGCUUUCACAGUAGCUGUGAUAUGGUUUGGCUGUGUCCCCACCCACAUCUCAUCUUAAAACCCAGUGGGAGGUAAUUGAAUCAUGGGGGCAAGUCUUUCCUGUGCUGUUCUUGUGAUAGUGAAUAAGUCUCAUGAGAUCUGAUGGUUUUUAAAAGAGUUCUGGCUGGGCAUGGUGGUGGGCACCUGUAAUCCAAACUACUAGGGAGGCUGAGGCAGAGUGAAUUGCUUGAACCUGGGAGAAGGAGGUUGCAGUGAGCCGAGAUUGCACCGCUGCACUCCAGCCUGGGCAAAAUUGAAGACUCUGUCUCCAAAAAAAAAAAAAAGGAGUUCCUCUGCAUAAGCUCUCUCUCUUUGCCUGCUGCCAUCCAUGUAAGAUGUGACUUGCUCUUCCUUGCCCUAUGAUUGUGAGUCUUUCCCCAGCCACGUGGAACUGUAAGUCCAAAUAAACCUCUUUCUUUUGUAAAUUGCCCAGUCUUGGGUAUGUCUAUCAGCAGCAUGGAAAUGGACUAAUACAGUAAAUUGGUACCAGUAGAGUGGGGUGUUGCUGAAAAGAUACCUGAAAAUGUGAAAGUGACUUUGGAACUGGGUAGCAGGCAAACAUUGGAACAGUUUGGAGGGCUCAGAAGAAGACAGGAAAAUGUAGGAAAGUUUGGAACUUCCUAGAGACUUGUUGAAUGGCAUUGACAAAAAUGCUAAUAGUGAUACGAACAAUAAGAUCCAGUCUGAGGUGGUCUCAGAUGGAGAUGAGGAACUUGUUGGGAACUGGAGCAAAGGUGACUCUUGUUAUGUUUUAGCAAAGAGACUGGUGACAUUUUGCCCCUGCCCGAGAGAUUUGUGGAACUUUGAACUUGAGGGAGAUGAUUUAGGGUAUCUGGUGGAAGACAUUUCUUUUUUUUUUUUUGUGACGGAGUCUUGCAUUGUCGCCUGGGGUGGAGUGCAAUGGUCUGAUCUCAGCUUACUGGGUUCAAGCAAUUCUGUCUCAGCCUCCCGAGUAGCUGGGAUUACAGGCGUCCGCCACCACGCCCUUCUAAUUUUUUGUAUUUUUAGUAGAGACGGUUUCACUAUGUUGGCCAGUGGAAGACAUUUCUAAGCAGCAAAGCAUUCAAGAGGUGGCUUGGGUGUUGUUAAAGGCAUUCUGUUUUGACUGGGUGCGGUGGUGCACACCUAUAAUCCCAGCACUUUGGGAGGCCGAGGAGGGUGGAUCAAGAGGUCAGGAGUUCAAGACCAGCCUGGCCAAUAUGGUGAAACCCUGUCUCUACUGGAAAUACAAAAAUUAGCUUGGCAUGGUGGUGUGCGCCUGUAGUCCCAGCUUCUCGGGAGGCUGAGGCAGGAGAAUCGCCUGGACCCGGGAGGUGGAGGUUCCAUUGAGCCAAGAUCAUGCCACUGACUCCAGCCUGGGCAACAGACUGAGACUCUGUCUCAAAAAAAAAGAAAAAAAAAAAGGCAUUCAGUUUUAUAAGGGAAGCAGAGCAUAAAAGUUUGGGAAAUUUGCAGCCUGACAAUGUGAUAGUAAAGAAAAUCCCAUUUUCUGAGAGGAAAUUCAAGCUGGCUGCAAAAAUUUGCAUAAGUACCAAGGAGCCGAAUGUUAAUAUCCAAGACAAUGGGGAAAAUAUCUCCCAGACAUGUCAGAGGUCUUCAUGGCAGCCCCUCCCAUCAACAGGUCCAGAGGCCUAGGAGGAAAAAGUGGUUUUGUGGGCAGCACCCAGGGUCCCCAUGCUAUGUGCAGCCUAGGGACUUGGUGCCGUGCGUCUCAGCUCCUCCAGUGGUGACUGAAAGGGGCCAACAUAGAGCUCGGGCUGCUGCUUCAUGGGGUGGAAGUCCCAAAUCUUGGCAGCUUCCAUGUGGUGUUGAGCCUGCGAGUACAUAGAAGUCAAGAAUUGGGGUUUGGGAACCUCCAUCUAGAUUUCAGAAGAUAUAUGGAAAUUCCUGGAUGCCCAGGCAGAAGUUUGCUGUAGGGGUGGGGCCUUCAUGGAGAACCUCUGCUAGAGCAGUGCAGAAGGGAAAUGUGGGGUCGGAGCCCCCACACAGAGUCCCCGCUGCGGCCCUGCCUGAUGGAGCUGUGAGAAGUGGACCACCGUUCUCCAGACCCCAGAAUGGUAGAUCCACCGACAGCUUGCACCGUGUGCCUGGAAAAGCUGCAGACACUCAAUGCCAGCCUAUGAAAGCAGCCUGGAGGGAGGCUUUACCCUGCAAAGCCACAGAAGUGGAGCUGCCCAAGACCAUGGGAAUCCACCUCUUGCAUCAGUGUGACCUGGAUGUGAGACAUGGAGUCAAAGGAUAUCAUUUUGAAGCUUUAAGAUUUGACUGCCCUGCUGGAUUUCAGACUUGCAUGGGUCCUGUAGCCCCUUUGUUUUGGCCAAUUUCUCCCAUUUGGAAUGGCUAUAUUUACCCAAUGCUUAUACCACCAUUCUAUCUAGGAAGUAAAUAACUUGCUUUUGAUUUUACAGGCUCAUAGGCAGAAGGGAUUUGCCUUGUCUCAGAUGAGACUUUGGACUGCGGACUUUUGAGUUAAUGCUGAAAUGAGUUAAGACUUCGGAGGACUAUUGGGAAGGCAUGAUUGGUUUUGAAAUGUGAGGACAUGAGAUUUGGGAGGGGCCAGGGGUGGAAGGAUACGGUUGGGUUCUGUGUCCCCACCCAAGUCUUAUCUUGUAGCUCCCAUAACCCAUGUGUCUUGGGAGGGACCUGGUAAUUCAAUCAUGUGGGCUGGAUGCGGUUGCUCAUGCCUGUAAUCCCAGCACUUUGGGAGGCCAAGGGGGAGAUCACUUGCGAUCAGGAGUUUGAGACCAGCCUGGCCAACAUGGUGAAACCCCAUCUAUACUAAAAAUACAAAAAUUAGCCAGGCACGGUGGUGGGCACCUGUAAUCCCAGCUACUUGGGAGGCUGAGGCAUGAGAAUCACUUGAACCUGGAGGCGGAGGUUGCAGUGAGCCGAGAUCGCACCACUGCACUCCAGCCUGGGCGUCAAAGUGAAACUUAGUCUUAAAAAAAAAAAAAAAAAGAAGAAUGGGAGUGGGUCUUUCCUGUGCUGUCCUCAUGAUAGAGAAUAAGUCUUACAAGAUCUGAUGGUUUUAAAAAUGAGAGUUAUUUCUCUCUUCUCUUGUCUGCCACCAUGUGAGUCAUGCCUUUCACCUUCCACCAUGAUUGUGAGGCCUCCCCAGCCACGUGGAACUGUAAGUCCAAUAAACCUCUUUCUUUUUUUUUUUUUUUUUUUUUUUUUUUGAGACGGAGUCUCACUCUGUUGCCCAGGCUGGAGUGCAGUGGCGCGAUCUCGGCUCACUGCAAGCUCCGCCUCCCAGGUUCACGCCAUUCUCCUGCCUCAGCCUCCCGUGUAGCAGGCAUUGUCACAGGCGCCUGCCACCACACCCACCUAAUUUUUUUGUAUUUUUAGUAGAGACGGGGUUUCACCGUGUUAGCCAGGGUGGUAUCGAUCUCCUGACCUUGUGAUCCGCCCACCUUGGGCUCCCAAAGUGUUGAGAUUACAGGCGUAAGCCACUGCACCCGGCAAUAAACCUCUUUCUUUUGUAAAUUGCCCAGGUAUGUCUUUAUCAGCAGCAUGAAAAUGGACUCAUACAAUGAUCCAUUACCUAGGGUAAAAUUCUCCUGAAUGUCAAACAGAGAUAAACUACAUUUGGGUUUUGGGUAAGUCCCCUGUAAUGAUGAAUCAAGAAUCCUCAAGUCUGUCUUGCCACCCAUUUAAUACGUAUUUUUGUUAAGGCUGAAGUUUAGAGUUAGAAUCAGGACAUUUUGGCCUAUUGAGAGGUUCUGAAUUCCAACAGAAGAUGCCAUGUAAAUCAGUGAAUUUGAUUCUUUUAAAAGCAACUUACAAAAUUUACAAGAUGUAUUCAAUAAAGCAGUUUAGCUUUGGUAUAUCAAACCUUAUAAUGAACCAUUUUUCCCACUUCAUCUUAUGCAAUGUUUAAUAUUUUCUAUUUUUGUCAAGGAUAUUAAACCUACACCUGGAAACAUAUUAAAUGCCAACUUAAAAUGUGAGAAGUUUGGCAGAACUCAGACCCAUUCUUCCAAUUUCCAAGCUGUUUAAUCACACUGAUUCAGACACUCUGGAUAGCAGCUGGGAUUGUAGUUAUCUUUAUGCUUUGAGCUCUCUAGUUUUGUCUACACAUCUUAUAAAAUAUCCCCUCCUCAUUCUCCUCUAGCUGGAACACUAACCCAAUGGAUGUUGUGGUGAACUUUCUUUGACCAGGCAGAGAAGUGCAGCAUUGGGUGGACCAUGCACAACCAGUUUGAGAAGCACUGCUCUAGGGGUUGGGGGAGCAACAAUAGAAAGAGUGUAGGUUCUGAAUACCUGAAGCAUACAUUUUAGCUCUAGACUGCUUAUAUUGUUGUUACAUGAAAGAGAACUUUUAAUCUGGUUUAAACCACUGGAUCUCUUUAUUCCAGCAAGUGAAUCUAUAUCCAACUAAUAUUUACUCCCAGUCUGUUCUUUCUCACCCCUCUUUCCCUUACUAUAAACCUUUUCUAUAUCAAUUUAUAUCAUUAGUUGCUCAGCCCACAAACCAGAUGUCACUUUUGUUUUCUCUUUUCCUUCCCAUUCAUAGCCAGGCCAUCGUUGUGACUUAUUGGCUGUACCUCCAAAAUAUAUCCCAGAUCUGAUCUCUUCUUAUAAUUUGUACUGCUACAACCUUAGUCAAAGCCACUAAUAUCUCUUAUCUGAACUCCAGUGGUUUACUAGUUUUCUGCCUCUCUUCUUGACACAAUUCAUCUUUCUACAUAGCAGCCAGAGUAAGAUAAAAUCAUAAAUCAGAUCAUAUAACUUCUACCCCCUGUACCAAUGGCUAUCUUUUAUACUCAGAAUAAAAUCCAAAACCUUUAUUUGGCUUCCAAGAUCCUACAAGAUAGAGACCUUACUUCUCAUCUUGUACCCAUCAUUUGAUCUUCAGUCCCUUGAAAAUGCCAAGUCUAUUUCCAUUUCAGGGCCUUUGUGCUUGUUACUAUUGUUUCUUUUCUCUUGGAAAACUGCCCAGAUCUUUCCUUAGCUGAAUUAUUCAGAUCCCAACUCAAAUAUCAUCUCUUUAGAAAAUUCUUUCAGAACCAGGUGUGGUGGUGCACACCUGUAAUCUCAGCUACUCGAGUGGCUGAGGCUGAUGGAUUUCUUGAGCCCAGAAGUCUGAGGCCAGCCUGGGCAAUAUAGCAAGAUCCUGUCAAAAAGAAAAAGGUAUCUCACCAUGAUUAUAUUUUAAUUUCCCUUCAGCAAUUAGAAGUCCCUGAAAUUAAUUUACCUUAUUUGUUGGCAUUUGUUGGCAUUGUGCAAGUAAUGCUUGCACCCAGGAGGCAGAGUUUGCAGUGAGCUGAGAUCACGCCACUGCACUCUAGCUUGGGCAAUAGGGCGAGACUGAGUCUCAAAAUAAAUAAAUAAAUACAUAAAAUAAUUUUAGAGACAGAGUCUUGCUCUGUUGCCCAGGCUGGAGUGAAGUGGUGGGAUCUCGGCUUACUGCAACCUCUGCCUCCUGGGUUCAAGCGAUUCUCCUGCCUCAGCCUCCUGAGUAGCUGGGAUUACAGGCGUGCACCACCACGCCUGGCUAAAUUUUGUAUUUUUAGUAGAGAUGGGGUUUUGCCGUGUUGGUCAGGCUGGUCUCGAACUCCUGACCUCUGAUCUGCCCACCUCGGCCUUCCAGAGUGCUGGGAUUACAGGCAUGAGCCACCAUGGGCCCACAAAGCUAUUUUACUUAGCAUUUUUUUUCCCGAGGCUAAAUUGGGAACUACUGACAAUACUAUUGACAAUACUAAAUAUAUUUUUAAAUUAUUUUACUUAUUUUUGAGACAGGGUCUCACUGUGUCACCCACGCUGUAGUGCAGUGAACCAUCACCACUCACUGCAGUCUCACCCUUCCUGAACUCAGGUGAUCCUCCCACCUCAGCCUCCUGAGUAGCUGGGACUACAGGCAUGCACCACCAUGCCUGGCUAAUUUUUAAAAUUUUUUGUAGAGAUGGAGUUUCGCCAUGUUGCCCAGGCUGGUCUCAAACUUCUGGGUUCAAGUGAUGCAAGUGUCUCAGCCUCCUAAAGUGCUAGGAUUACAGGCGUAAGCCACUAUGCCCAGCCUUUUAUUUUAUUUUAUUUUAUUUAUUUAUUUUUUGAGACAGAGUCUUGUUCUGUUGCCCAGGCUAGAGUGCAGUGGUGCAAUCUCAGCUCACUGCAACCUCUGCCUCCCAGGUUCAAGCGAUUAUCAUGUCUCAGCCUCCCUAGUAGCUGGGAUUACAAGUGUGCACCACACGCGGCUAAUUUUUGUAUUUUUUGUAGAGGCAGAGAGGCAGGGUUUUAUUAUGUUGGCCAAGCUGGUCUUGAACUCCUGGCCUCAAGUGAUCUGCUCACCCCGGCCUCCCAAAGUGCUGAGAUUACAGGUGUGAGCCACCAUGCCCACCAACCUAUUUUUUAUUUUAAAAAAUUGACAGCAUACUAAAUGUUUGUAAUGCAAAUGAUAAAAUUGCUACAAUGAAAACAAGAAGUUGAGAAUUAGAUGAAGAGUUGAUUAAGGGAACUAUGAGUCACUGUGUUAGAGCAUGUAUAUUAUGAAAAUUAUAGCAGAAGUGAUAAAGGGUGACAAUUGUUACCUAUCUUCAAUCAAAAGCUCUUUGAAUAUCUUUCUUUUUUUUAAUUUUAUGAAUUUUUUUUACAGAGACAGGGUCUCACUAUAUUGCCCAGGUUGGUCUCGAACUCCUGGGCUCAAGGGAUCCUCUUGCCUUGGCCUCACAAAGUACCUGGAUUACAGGCAUGAGCCACAGUGCCUGGCCCUCUUUGAAUAUCUUUAAUGCUUUUAGAGAUUAGCAUCAGAGAAUUAUUAAUACUAGAGGGCACAAGGAAUUAGCCAUUGCCAGUGGACACCUACAUAGGUGUGACUAUGUGACUCAGUUUUAAAAAUGUGACACAAUGAAAAAAUUCCUUGGAUGUUAUGGAGGACGAAAAUUUUGUAAGUCCUAUCCAUUCUUUAAUGGAGAAACUAAAAUUUACAAUAUUACUUUAUUUAGCCCAAGAUUUUCUUAAGCUUUGUAUUUUCUAAUUCAGCUUUGGCUUACAGAAUCAUGCUUGAAGUUUGAGACUGCCAGCUUUCAACAGGCAGUUACUAGUGAAACUCUUUGGAAAGAUGAGAAGAUGUUGACAUAAGUGUAAUGUGAGACAAAGCAAAGUAAAAUGUAAUUUUUAAGAAAAUGUUGCCGGGUGUGAUGGUGGCUCAUGUUGCUGUUGGUUGCUAUGGGAGUGAACGAAGGGGGACGAAUGCAGAAAUGAAGACAAAGACAAAAAGAGUAUUUUUGGAAGAAGGGGUCAGGGGACUCCUUGCUUCUAGUGGGCAAGGGCCCUGAGCUUCUACAGCCCUUCAUAUUUAUUAGGUAGAAAGAGCAGGGAGGGAGAGGUAACAGUUGGUCAGCUGCUUGAUUUAUCACAGGUACACAUAAUUGCUUCCUUUGUACAACAGGUAUACAUAAUUGCUUUCUUUGUACAACAGGCUUCAGAUGUUCCUAUAGAUAAUCACAAGGAACACUGUGCUUGGGGUGUGACUGCCCUCAGCAACCCUUCUGGCAGCAGACACAGUUGUUAGUUUUCCAACAUCCUGCUUUCAUGAGAACAGUUUUCUAUUUGCUCAUAUAGCCUCCAGUGGUAUACUGAGUUGGUCACGACCCUCAUUCUUUCGGCCUGUAACAGGCUCAUGCCUGUAAUGCCAGCACUUUUGGAGGCCGAGGCAAGAGGAUAGCUUGAGCUCAGGAGUUGGAGACCAGCCUGGGCAACACGGUGAAACCCCAUCUCUGCAAAAAUUAGCCUGGUGUGGUGGGGUGCGCCUGUAGUCUCAGCUGCUUGUGGGGCUGAGGCGGGAGAAUAGCUUGAGCUCCAGGGGUCGAGGCUGCAGUGAGCCAUAAUGGUGCUGCUGCAUUCCAGCCUGGGUGACAAAGUGAGACUAUCUCAAAAAAAAAAACGGCUGUUAGAUAAAAAUGAAGACAAACAACAUUUGCAAGGAUAUAAAUCUUAACCCAUUUAUUGGGGGUAUAGGCUCUGGUGUCAGAUUUCCAUCUGUCCUGUAUUUUGUAACCACAAAAUUGUCCUGGCUGGAUUAAUUGUAAGGAAGUCCCUUUAAACACAUCUAGACUUCCAAAGUUUGUUUACAUACUAAUUAGUUGUCAUGAAAAGCUGCAUUCAACCCAGGGUCUGAGAUGCCUUUUGUAUAUGAAAAGUGCUUCUCUUUCUGACACUGACUGAAUUACAUACAUAACAGAUUCAUUUAUUUAAAAACAAUUUAAGAGGCUUUUUCUAUAAUGCUGAACCUGCUGUGUGGUAUUUAUGUUUAAUUCUGGUCAAAUUUUCAAAACUAAUAAACACUGCAAUUCAAAACCAUUAAUUAUCAAGCAUAGACCAAGUAUCUGAGGUUAUGAGCACAUAUUUAAGAGGUUAGACUCUGGCAUUCCAGACAUUGCAAAUAAUACUUUUCUCAUUUCUAAAUUUCCUAGAAACAAGUGGAGAUUUGUAAAAGGAAAUAAUACUCUUUAAAACAUUUAUUUUUGACUCAGGAUCUGGCUCUGUUGCCCUAGCUAGAGUGCAGUGGUGCCAUCAUCACAGCUCACACAAUAGCCUGGAACUACUGGGCUCAAACCAUCCUCCCACCUCAGCCUCCCAAGUAGCUGGGACUGCAGAUGCAGGCCAUCAUGUCCCGCUAAGUUUUAUUUUAUUUUUGUAGAGACAGAGUCUAUGUUGCUCAGGCUGGUCCUGAACUCCCGGCAUCAAGUGAUCCUCCCACCUCCCAAUAAAACAUGUACUGAUGGCCAGGCACUUGGCUCACGCCUGUAAUCCCAGCACUUUGGGAGGCCGAGGCGGGCAGAUCAUGAGGUCAAGAGAUCAAGACCAUUCUGGCCAACAUGGUGAAACCCUGUCUCUACUAAAAAUACAAAAAUUAGCCAGGUGUGGUGGCACGCGCCGGUAGUCUCAGCUACUCCGGAGGCCGAGGCAGGAUAAUUGCUUGAACCCCAGAGGCGGAGGUUGCAGUGAGCCGAGAUCGUGCCACUGCACUCCAGCCUGGCGACAGAGCAAGACUCUGUCUCAAAAAAAAAAAAAAAACCAAAAACCAAAAAAUCAAAACCAAAACCAUGUAUUGAUAUCAAAGUUUUUUUAUCCUGGCAGGGCACAGUGGCUCACGCCUGUAAUCCCAGCACUUUGGGAGGCUGAGGCAGGUGGAUCACGAGGUCAGGAGUUCAAGACCAGCCUGGCCAAGAUGGUGAAGACCCGUCUCUACUAAAAAUACAAAAAUUAGCCAGGCGCAGUGGCAGGCGCCUGUAAUCCCAGCUACUCGGGAGGCUGAGGCAGGAGAAUCGUUUGAAACCAGGAGGGUAGAGGUUGCAGUGAGCCAAGAUUGUGCCACUGUACUCCAGCCUGGGUGACAGAGUGAUACUAUGUCUCAAAAAAAAAAAAAAAAAAAAAAGAAAAAGAAAAAAGAAAGAAAGUUGCUUUAUCUUUAAAACUAUAUAUAUUGUUUUCACCCCUACAUAGUCCUUGCCUCCCAGACAUCUCCUCACUAACGUCAGUAGACAAUUUGGCAUCUGAUGGUUUGAAAUAGUUUCUGUAAUCAAAUCCUGAAUAAAAUCCAUUUUAAAGCCUAUAGAGAGUUAAGAAACAAGUAUAAAAAUUUGUUGAAGUGUUUAUUGAACGAACAUAAUACAUUUGUCUGAGAAGAGAUACGCACACUAAAGUCCCCUACAAGCAACUAAUGGGAAAAGAUCACACAGGUAACUCCAAUUUUUAAAAAUAUGAUCAUGAAAGAUAAUUGUAGUUGGUGUUUAUGGAGCAUCUUUUGGAGGGGGGGGAACCCCCAACAACUCUACAAAUUGAGAUCCAGAACAGAGAAAGUCAUCAGGUGAAAUGCCAAGACCAAAAAACUUAUUUUAUUUGAAUUCCAUUUUCUGAGAAGAAAACUAGUAUUGCAGCAGAGUCAUUUAAUGAAAACUUAACAGUUUCACUGAGGAUUCAGAUAUCCGUUGACAUGUACAUGACAAUCUUUAGAUUAAAUCAUAAAAAGUUGACUGUCUCCAAGAAAUUGUUAUUUCACAAAUUUAUCUAUUUUAAAUAUAACACUGAAGUUAUUACAUAAACACUGACGUCAAAAUCAUGCCAGAGCAGUGUUACUAUUUUUACAUGUAUAUGAGUAUUCAUGACCUUUAAUGUCUGGACACAUUCUAGGUCACAGAACAGAAGCAAAUUUUCACUUUUGUGUGUUUUUGGUACAGUGACAUGUCUGGUUCCUUUUGAGCUAGAUAUAUCUGCUUAAAUAAUUAACACUAUUGGAUAUUAGUCCCUCAAAGUAAAUGUCUAUUUUACCUGGUAUUCUAGGAAGAGAGAGAGAAAGAAAAUAACCAAAGAAAUGUGACUGCAAUCUAAUUUCCAAGAGAGAAACUCUACUUCUGAAUACUGGCCCCAUACUGCAUAUUUUAUGAAUAUUUUUCUCACAACUUUUCUUAAAACUUAAGUUCUCUCUUAGGAAUGUCUUUAGUUAGGUCUUACAAAGAAACUGUUUAAUACACAAUGUUAACAUCUACUAGGCAAAAGAUGCUUGCUUCUCUUCCCACAAAAGCCAAACAGAAAACACAAAGUGUUACUAACGUUUUCUAUUUAUUCAUUAAUAAAAAGUGCAUAGUACAAGCCCUUUAUCCCAAUCCAAGUACUCAGAAAAAGAUUAACAACAGACCCUGGAUGGCACAGACAUAAUUUGUUUGGCGUGAUUUAAACAUAUAAAAUCAGUAAUUAACAUUUAGCAUAUCACACGACCACUUUUGCUUUUAACAAACUAAUCUUCACACAUGGUAACAAAUACCUAUGAUUUUUCAUUUAGAAAUAUUAUAAGAAGACUAAACUUACUAUUGCAACAACAAAAAUUUAACCCAUUAAACUAGAAACUCUCUUCAUUUUUCCUUCUUCAAAUUACUGUUUUGUGUCUUAAACUGAGUUGGUCAAAUUUGAGCACAUAAUUCAUGUAGAGUGACAGACUUUCAUUUAGAGUGAUAGACUUCCAAGGUUCCUUUGAAAAUUUAAGAUACUGGUAAUUCCAUAAACACUCCCACACCACAUACCACAAAAACACUAAAAGUAGCCAUAGAAUAGCUGUAUUCAAUAAUUAUUUUGGAAAAUCCACAUUAUGAAAUAUGACUUGCUGACCAUGGAACAGUGCUUGGAUAGAUAACAUGAAAAAAAUGAAAAACAUCUUUUUUUUUUUUUUUUUGAGACGGAGUUUCACUCUUGUUGCCCAGGCUGGAGUGCAAUGGCGUGAUCUUGGCUCACUGCAACCUCCACCUCCCAGGUUCAAGUGAUUCUCCUGCCUCAGCUUCCCAAGUAGCUGGGAUUACAGGCAUGUGCCACCACACCAGGCUACUUUUGUAUUUUUAGUGGAGAUGGAGUUUUUCCAUGUUGGCCAGGCUGGUCUCGAACUCCUGACCUCAGGUGAUCCAGCUCCCUCGGUCUCCCAAAGUGUUGGGAUUACAGGCAUGAGCCACCGUGCCCAGCCUGAAAAAAAUCUUUUACUAGAAACAGUUCCAAUGUUAACUUUUCCCACAUGGAAAGCAAAACAAAACAAAACAAAACAAACAAACAAAUGCAACAAAACAACCUCCCACUAUUAUUGUGCAUAAAAACACAUUAAAUGACUCUAAAACAAAAUAAACUUUUUUUUUUUUGGUAGAGACAGGGUCUUGCUAUGUUGCCCAGGCUAGUCUCAAACUCCUGGGCUCAAGCAGUUCUUGCCUCAGCCUCCCAAAUUGCUGGGAUUACAGGCAUGAGCCACCAUGACUGGCCUAAAACAAAAUAAAUUCUUAAUGGCAUUUGUGGAAUGUGUUUAAGAGCCAAAACUGUGAAAAUGUAAGCUUUAUCUUUCUUUUUUCCUAGAUUAUUUAAAGAGGAUUGUAGCCACACUUCAGAUGAAUGUUUACAAGCCAAAUAAUGAUUUAAGAGUGUGCUCAAUAAAAAGGCCAUAGGUUUAAGAAUUAAAUGGAAUAAUAUAAAUUACUAGGUCAACAAGAAUAUUUCAUGUAUAGUACACUGUCUAAGGAAUGCAGAGAAAUUUUACAAGAAACCCAAGACUAAAUACUUCAUUAAGAACACUGGUUACUAAGUAAAUAGAUGGCUCAUGUAGGAAAAAGCUAAUAUAUGUAGAUGUAAUGUCAACUAAGUGCAUGUGACAGAAAUGAAGAACUAGGAAUAAGAAUCCAGAUUUUCUGGCCAGGCACGGUGGCUCACAUCUGUAAUCCUAGCACUUUGGGAGGCCAUAGUGGGUGGAUCACCUGAGGUCAGGAGUUUGAGACCAGCCUGGCCUACAUGGCGAAACCCCAUCUCUACUAAAGAUACAAAAAUUAGCUGGGCGUGGUGGUGGGCACUUAUAAUCCCAGCUACUCAGGAGGCUGAGGAAGGAGAAUCGCUCGAACCUGGGGGUGGAUGUUGCAGUGAGCCAAGGUCGCGCCACUUCACUCCAGCUUGGGCGAAAGAGCAAAACUCCAUCUCAAAACAACAACCAAAAAGAAUCCAGAUUUUUAGGUGUCUAAUACUAGACAUUCUGUAUCCAAGUUUCAGCCAUUUCAUCCAAUAAAGCCUUCUAAAGCCUUUUUUUUUUGAGACAGGGUCUCACUCUGUCACUCAAGCUGGAGUGCAGUGGCGUGAUCUUGGCUUACUGCAACCUGUCUCCCAGGCUCAAGCGAUUCUCCUGCCUCAGCCUCCCGAGUAGCUAAGACUACAGGCCGUGUCACCAAACCCGGCUAAUUUUUUGUAGGCACGGGGUUUCACCGUCUUGGCCAGGCUGGUCUCAACCUCCUGACCUCAAGUGAUCCACCUGCCCCAGCCUCCCAAAGUGCUGGGAUUACAGGCAUGAGUCACUGCGCCCAGCUCCCAAAGCCAAUUUUCAAUUAUUUGUGAGCCAUAGAUUCAGUGACUACAUCAAUAUCUCUUGCCAGGGAUUGGCCUAACAGCUCAGAGAACAGAUUGUUAGGAUAUAUGGGCAAGCCUUCUAAGUUCAAGAGGCAAGAGCAGAAAAUGGAAUGCUAUAGGGAUUUAGCUCCAUCUUAAGCCAUUCUGGCCCUUUCUGCUCUACUUUACCAGCUAUAGAGUUAGGAAGGCUUCCAGUAGGCCACAGCAAGAGGAAAAACCUUUAUUCUGUGGGGCUCAUUUAUCCAGGAUUUAACUUACCUGUGUCAUGUUACCGAUCUAUUAACACAAGUAAUUUAGAGUUGGUUAUAUUAUUUCAAGAAAUUGAGCACAAAGCCAGGAUGUACAAGGAGGAAUUCAAACAAUCAAUAUUGGAUUAUAUAAUGAAAAGAUGCCCUUACAAUGUUUAUGAUCUAGAAUGUAAUCAUAAUAAAGGGGGGAAAAUACCUUAUGAGUAUCACAAUUGUAUCAGAGACUAUUAAACAGUACAAUGAUACAGAGAAUUUAUUCAAUUCAUACAAGUAAUUUACCAGAUCUAAACAGUGAAUAGACUGACCUAAGGGGAAAAAAAUCCUUACAUUGAUAGCAAAAUAUCUUCUAGCCCCCAUAAAUAAUCUGCAAUCAUUUGCUAGGAAAAAAACUUCAUAACCAUAUGGGUCAUGCAGACAUUUUUAUUUAUUUAUUUAUUUUGAGACAGAGUCUCGCUCUGUCGCCCUGAUUGGAGUGCAGUGGCACGAUCUCAGCUUACUGCAACCUCCGUCUCCCAGGUUCAAGCAAUUUCCUGCCUCAGCUUCCCCAGUAGCUGGGAUUAUAGGCACACACCACCAUGCCUGGCUAAUUUUUGCAUUUUUAGUAGAGAUAAGGUUUCACCAUGUUGGUCAGGCUGGUCUCGAACUCCUGACCUCAGGUGAUUCGCCUGCCUCGGCCUCCCAAAGUGCUGGGAUUACAGGCGUGAGCCACCGUGCCCAGCCCAUGCAGACAUUUUUAAGUGCUAUUGGUAUUCACUUUAUUUCAAACUGAGCAAAACAAUACAACCUUUUACUUUUUUAUACAUUUUAAAAUUUCUCUCAUAUUAACAUUCCUUCCUACCCCAAUCCAUCCCAUCACCAAACAGGAAUGAGAUAAGGAGUGAAAAAAAGAUGUAUGUUUCUCAUUUUCCUUCUUUUCCCUUGAAGUAAACCAGUAAUUUAUUAAAAUAUUUUAUAGGUCAGAGGAUAACAAAAGACUCAAUGUAGUAAAUAAGUAAAUAGGCAUUCAAAUAUCAGUAACCUAACAGGCCCUAAUACAGCUUUAAGAUUUUCUUCUUUUUUUUUUUUUGAGAGGGAGUCUCGCUCUAUUGCUUAGGCUGGAAUGCAGUGGUGCGAUCUUGGUUCACUGCAACCUCCACCUCCCGGGUUCAAGCAAU